AGUACGUGAAACUGCUUAGGGAUUAAGCCUGAUGAAUCUGAAUAUCUAUUAUGGGAAAUUCAUCGUUAAUUAUAUUAAUAUUUAUAUUAUAAUUAUAAUAUAAUAUAUUAUAUAAACGGCGUGCAUUUUUUCCAUAAAAUGACAUUGUAAUCGGUUAAUAAAAUAGAAAAUCUAUCAAAAAAUUUAUUAAUAGAGUUUAUUCUAAUUAAAUUUUUUUAAAAUUGAAUAAAUUUAAUAAAUAUGAUAGAUUGUUGACUGAUUUAAUUAUAUAAUAAUGUAUGAAAUUUCUUUAUGAAAUUUUUACAAUUAAUUAUUGGUUUUUUCUUAAUAAUUAUAUUGUAAUGCAUUUUUAUUAUUUACAAUGAUAAAAAAUUCAGAAUACCUUCGGGACCCGUCUUGAAACACGGACCAAGGAGUCUAACAUAUGUGCAAGUCGUUGAGUUUAUAAUUAUGAAAACUCAAAGGCAUAAUUAACUUAACUGUUUUUAAAAUGGGAUCAGUUUAUAUAUAUUUUUAAUAAGAUAAAUAAAUGAAUUCAAUCCCAGGGCGUUUCAUAUAGUUAUGCAUAUUAAUAUUUAUAUUAUUUAUGCCUCUAACUGGAGC
rnacentral:rRNA from 1 species